rnacentral:lncRNA from 1 species
UUAACCCUAACUUGCAAAGGAAAAAUGAAAUUAACUAUUGAAUUAAGAAGAAAACAAAUAAAAGAAAAGAAAAGGAACAAGAAUGUCAAAAACAAAAAUAAAAGAAAAAAUUAAAAAUAAAACAAAAAAAUAGAAAAUGAAAAUGAAAAAAGAUAAAAUAAAAAAUAUGUUUGGAGUUGUUGGGUAUCGAUGGUGGCCGGAGGGGCAGAUCUGGCUAUUGGGGAUGAGCGGCUACCACUGGUCAAGAUUCGAA